GAUGAACGCUAGCUACAGGCUUAACACAUGCAAGUCGAGGGGAAACGAUAUUGGAAGCUUGCUUCCGAUAGGCGUCGACCGGCGCACGGGUGAGUAACGCGUAUCCAACCUGCCCACCACUUGGGGAUAACCUUGCGAAAGUAAGACUAAUACCCAAUGAUAUCUCUAGAAGACAUCUGAAGGAGAUUAAAGAUUUAUCGGUGAUGGAUGGGGAUGCGUCGGAUUAGCUUGUUGGCGGGGUAACGGCUCACCAAGGCGACGAUCAGUAGGGGUUCUGAGAGGAAGGUCCCCCACAUUGGAACUGAGACACGGUCCAAACUCCUACGGGAGGCAGCAGUGAGGAAUAUUGGUCAAUGGGCGAGAGCCUGAACCAGCCAAGUAGCGUGCAGGAUGACGGCCCUAUGGGUUGUAAACUGCUUUUAUAAGGGAAUAAAGUGAGCCUCGUGAGGCUUUUUGCAUGUACCUUAUGAAUAAGGACCGGCUAAUUCCGUGCCAGCCGCCGCCGUAA
rnacentral:rRNA from 1 species